CUCUCUCUAUCUUGAGAGAGAGCAGGGCCUGGCUGCAGGGGCUUAACCAAGUAUCUGGAGGGGAGCAGGGCUGCAGAUAGGCCAAGGGAGCUCGGGAGCUCUGGCCUAGGAAAGCCCCAGGCUGGGGCUGGUAAGAAUACAAGGAAAAUGGGGGCCCAGAAGAAAAAGCUCUUCUAUAGUUCUUCAGGAAAACUGGGAAAAGUGUGAAACUCUACUGUGUCCCUGGAUUUCUUCAACCAAGAGCUAAACUUAAAUUAUCUCGCUGCUUCAUUGGGUGUUCGGUUGAAAUGUUUUACCAGAUUUGCUACCUCCAUCAAAAGUUUUUAUUUCCAGGCUUUUCAGUGCUUAACAGGUUUCUGGUUAAACUGUAAGUCUUGGCCCCUAUGCUGCUGAGUGUGAUUUUCUUCUUAUCUUCAUCUGUAAUAUUACUAGCAAUGAAUAAAUAAGAUAAUAUUUUGCAGCGUU